GGAAUAGGUUGUACGGUCCUUAUUUCCGGUUGCGGAUUCGGCGCUGGAGACACGAGUGUUAGCGGUUUGGGCUUCCAACUGGCGUUCAAGUCAAGACACUGGGCUACAUCUGAUUGAUUGAAAUGGUGGGUUUUUGAAAACGAUUGACGGUUGUAUUUUGUACAGGUCCAGACCGUUAGUGCAGUUUACGCUAGCGUAUGCGUCUCAGCAGAUAACGUUAGAUUUUGUCUGAAGUUAAAAUGAUUCGUAGUUAGUUUUUCGUCCUAUCAUAUCAAAUAAUGAAAUCAUGAGACGGGGACACGACUACUAACGGUGCCUCAAAGGACAACAUUCUUUUCUUUUCUUUUUAACUCUUGGAUUUGUCAUUAUUUAUAUAUGUAUGGAAUUGUGAGGUGACCCUCCAGUCAUUUGAGACCCCCGCUCCAAAGUAGAACAACAGAAAUAAGUGAAUGAGAAAUGUAUUUCCUUAUAUUUAUUUAUAAGUUUAUACUGUACGUAAACUGAAGUAAACAUUGACAAUUUCCUGGGGGUUAUAACAAGGUACACAAAAAAAACAAAAAAACACACACAGUAGGUGUUGGUCACUCUGUCCAUACUACAGACCUUGUAAUGUGAAUCCACUGACUUAUAUUCUUAAAUAGACGUUAGAAUAUUUGUUGUUGUCUUUGCCUCUCUGGAUCACAUCAAGACUUUAAAACCGAGAGACCAGUGAACUCUGCCAUUUCUCCAAUCAUGGAUCACGUAAGAUGAAUUUGUCACUGUGCAAUGUGUAUCCUAGUAGAUCAACAGUGACCUCGAACCUUGCAUUUGUGUGCGUGUGUUGUAGGUGCUUAUGGGAGAUGGGCAGGAGGCCAUGGAAGUGACCACAACCUCCACCAGGAUUGGCAAGUUUGAGGUCAGUCUCAUUGGCAGAGAACGUAUAUUUGUCAUGUCUUGUCGACACACUUUGAGCAGCUUGAAGAACUGGUGGUCUCAAACUCUGGGUCCUUAUACACAUGUUUACUGUGAUCGGUUCCAUUUCCCUCCUCCUCUGGACUGACGGAGUUAUUUUGGCUGUAUCCAGGCCGACAUAAUCAGUCACCUCACUACAAGCUGCUUCCUGACCCAACACAGGGAAACAGGAGGCCACAGUUUAUUUCCACAACACCCACAUUAUAUUUUAUGGAGUUGGGUGUAUUUUUCUUGGCUCAGUACUUGUUGGAAAAUAUUUUUAUGGUGAUUGUUGUCUUUUUGAAUAUUCAUUGUAUAUAUUGUUCCUUUUUUCCUGUUUGGAGUGAUAUUCUGGAAUUACAUUUAAAGGACAUUAAAAAACAAAAACAGGACGGACGUAGCAGCAGUCACUCAUUUAAACAACUUUUAUUAAGUCUUUACAAAUAAAGUAACAAAUUUCACUGUAUUGUAGCGCAAAGCGCAGUUUGUCUUUUGUCAUGAAGCUUGAACACUCUAUACUUAGUGCAAAACAUACCAUAGACGACAGCCAAUGACUCUCUACGUGGAUUGAUGUUUUU